UGGGGAAUAUUGGACAAUGGGCGGAAGCCUGAUCCAGCAACGCCGCGUGAGGGAUGACGGCCUUCGGGUUGUAAACCUCUUUCAGCACAGACGAAGCGCAAGUGACGGUAUGUGCAGAAGAAGGACCGGCCAACUACGUGCCAGCAGCCGCGGUAAUACGUAGGGUCCGAGCGUUGUCCGGAAUUAUUGGGCGUAAAGGGCUCGUAGGCGGUUUGUCGCGUCGGGAGUGAAAACACCGGGCUUAACUCGGUGCUUGCUUUCGAUACGGGCAGACUAGAGGCAUUCAGGGGAGAACGGAAUUCCUGGUGUAGCGGUGAAAUGCGCAGAUAUCAGGAGGAACACCGGUGGCGAAGGCGGUUCUCUGGGAAUGUCCUGACGCUGAGGAGCGAAAGUGUGGGGAGCGAACAGGAUUAGAUACCCUGGUAGUCCACACCGUAAAACGUUGGGCGCUAGGUGUGGGAUCCAUUCCACGGGGUUCCGUGCCGCAGCUAACGCAUUAAGCGCCCCGCCUGGGGAGUACGGCCGCAAGGCUAAAACUUAAAGGAAUUGACGGGGUCAUAGCUGUUUCCU
rnacentral:rRNA from 1 species